GGACUACCGGGGUAUCUAAUCCUGUUCGCUCCCCACGCUUUCGCUCCUCAGCGUCAGUACCGGCCCAGAUCACCGCCUUCGCCACUGGUGUUCCUCCUGAUAUCUGCGCAUUUCACCGCUACACCAGGAAUUCCGUGAUCCCCUACCGGACUCUAGCCAUGGCAGUUUCGAGUGGCGUCCCCAGGUUAAGCCUGGGGGUUUCACACCCGACUUGCCAAGCCGCCUACGAGCUCUUUACGCCCAAUAAAUCCGGACAACGCUCGCCCCCUACGUAUUACCGCGGCUGCUGGCAC
rnacentral:rRNA from 1 species